rnacentral:rRNA from 1 species
AUACGGAGGAUCCGAGCGUUAUCCGGAUUUAUUGGGUUUAAAGGGAGCGUAGGUGGAUUGUUAAGUCUGUUGUGAAAGUUUGCGGCUCAACCGUAAAAUUGCAGUUGAAACUGGGAGUCUUGAGUACAGUAGAGGUGGGCGGAAUUCGUGGUGUAGCGGUGAAAUGCUUAGAUAUCACGAAGAACUCCGAUUGCGAAGGCAGCUCACUAGACUGUUACUGACACUGAUGCUCGAAAGUGUGGGUAUCAAACAGGAUUAGAUACCCUGGUAGUCCACACAGUAAACGAUGAAUACUCGCUGUUUGCGAUAUACAGUAAGCGGCCAAGCGAAAGCAUUAAGUAUUCCACCUGGGGAGUACGCCGGCAACGGUGAAACUUAAAGGAAUUGACGGGG